CAAUAGCGUAUAUUAAUGUUGUUGCAGUUAAAAGCUCGUAGUCGGAUUUCAAUGCGGGUUGACCGGUCUGCCGAUUGGUAUGCACUGGCCGAGCCGUAUUUCCUCCCGGAGACCUCGUCUACUCUUAACUGAGGCGGACGGGGAAACGGGAUUUUUACUUGUAGGAAAUCUAGAGAUGUUCAAAGCAGGCUUUUGUAUGUAUGUGUUAGCAUGGGAUAAUAAAAUAGGACUUGGGUGGCUAUUUUGUUAGGUUUCGGAACACCUGAAGUUAAUGAUUAAUAGGGGAUAGUCAGGGGCACUCGUAUUCCGUCGAGAGAGGUGAAAUUCUCAGACCAAUGGAAGACGAACCACUGCGAAAGCAUUUGCCAGGGAUGUUUUCACUGAUCAAGAACGAAAGUUAGGGGAUCGAAGACGAUCAGAU
rnacentral:rRNA from 1 species